rnacentral:rRNA from 1 species
GCCAGACUCCUACGGGAGGCAGCAGUGAGGAGUAUUGGUCAAUGGCCGAGAGGCUGAACCAGCCAAGUCGCGUGAGGGAAGACUGCCCUAUGGGUUGUAAACCUCUUUUGUCAGGGAGCAACGCCGGCUACGUGUAGCCGGACUGAGAGUACCUGAAGAAAAAGCAUCGGCUAACUCCGUGCCAGCAGCCGCGGUAAUACGGAGGAUGCGAGCGUUAUCCGGAUUUAUUGGGUUUAAAGGGUGCGUAGGCGGAAUGCCAAGUCAGCGGUAAAAUCGGGGGGCUCAACCUCGCUCCGCCGUUGAAACUGGCGUUCUUGAGUGGGCGAGAAGUAUGCGGAAUGCGUGGUGUAGCGGUGAAAUGCAUAGAUAUUGCGCAGAACUCCGAUUGCGAAGGCAGCCUACCGGCUCCUGUCUGACGCUGAGGCACGAAAGCGUGGGUAUCGAACAGGAUUAGAUACCCCUGUA